GGGGGUAUAGCUCAGUUGGGAGAGCACCUGCCUUGCACGCAGGGGGUCAAGGGUUCGAGUCCCUUUAUCUCCA
rnacentral:tRNA from 5 species